rnacentral:rRNA from 1 species
ACUAGCUAACUGGAAUCAUGAGUGUGUCACUUGUGAUUAGUAAGAGGAAAAUAAUGAUAUCCCUUUUACAAAUAGUGUUGUCCAAAGCUGGUGCCAGAAGACUCGGUAAGGCCAGAGACGCGAGCGUUAAUCAUCUUGAACAGGCGUAAAGGGUUUGUAGGCAGCUUUAAAAUAAUUAAAGAUUGAAUCAAAUAGAGGUCAAGAGAAUUUCUAGAUUAGGGUUGAUAUCUAUAAAAACUAGAAGGAAUUCUAAUUAGCGAAGGCACUUUUCUAUCUAAUGAUUGACGCUGAGAAACGAAGGGGAGGAUAGACAAUAGGAUUAGAUACCCUGGCAUCCCUCUCUGUAAACGAUGAAUGGUAGUUGCUAGUAAUAAUUACUAGUGGCGAUGCUAACGCGUUAACCAUUCCGCCUUGUGAGUACGACUGCAAAGUUGAAAACAAAAAAAUUAGUCGGUUUCGGAGCAAACGAAGUGAAGCAUGUUAUUUAAUUC